UACGGGGGGGCAAGCGUUGUUCGGAAUUCCUGGGCGUAAAGGGCGCGUAGGCGGUGUGUCCAGUCAGGCGUGAAAGCCCCGGGCUCAACCUGGGAACCGCGCUUGAGACUGGCACGCUCGAGUUCGGGAGAGGAUGGUGGAAUUCCCAGUGUAGAGGUGAAAUUCGUAGAUAUUGGGAAGAACACCGAUGGCGAAGGCAGCCAUCUGGACCGACACUGACGCUGAGGCGCGAAAGCGUGGGGAGCAAACAGG
rnacentral:rRNA from 1 species